CUCCUACGGGUGGCAGCAGUCGAGAAUCUUGGGCAAUGCACGAAAGUGUGACCCAGCGACGCCGCGUGGAGGAUGAAGGCCCUCUGGGUUGUAAACUCCUUUUACGGGAGAAGAAGAUCUGACGUUAUCCCGUGAAUAAGCCACGGCUAACUACGUGCCAGCAGCCGCGGUAAUACGUAGGUGGCAAGCGUUGUCCGGAUUUACUGGGCGUAAAGCGAGCGCAGGCGGACCGUUAAGUAGGAAGUGAAAGGUCGGAGCUCAACUCCAACAUUGCUUCCUAUACUGGCGGUCUUGAGUCUCGGAGGGGAAAGCGGAACGACACGUGUAGCGGUGAAAUGCGUUGAUAUGUGUCGGAACACCAAUGGCGAAGGCAGCUUUCUGGACGACGACUGACGCUCAGGCUCGAAAGCCAAGGUAGCGAACAGGAUUAGAUACCCUGGUAGUCUUGGCCCUAAACGAUGAUCACUAGGUGUCGGGGGGUUACCCUCGGUGCCGCAGCUAACGCAUUAAGUGAUCCGCC
rnacentral:rRNA from 1 species